GUGCAUAUCAACAAAGCAUUAGCUAUCCACUCUGCCUAAAAUGGCCCAUCCUUUCAUUUUAACUUCUUCUCUGAAUAUUAAGGCCAUCCAUGAUUUUACUUAAGUUAGCACAAACCUGGUAUUAAAGCAGAAAUCCUUAUGGCACAGUUCCACAUCAUGCUAUAUUUAUUUACAGAGUCAUCAAGUCAAUUUUAAGAGUCAUUGUACAGUGAGAUUGAUACUUGUCAGUAAAUCCAACCAUCAGAUGGCAACGAUAUACAAAAAUUAUUUAGGCAAAAGUACUCUCAUCAUUACUGUCCCCUUGCAAAAAAAAAACUGAACCAAAAAAAUUCUAGAUCAAAUGUUGAAAUUGAUUAAUCUGGUCCUAAUAAAAAUGCACAGCUUAGAAGGCCUAUAUUUUCAAAAAUGUAUUUUGUAUAUUUUUUUGCUAAAUAUUUUUGUUUUUUUAGUGUGCCAGGAUUGAGUUUACUUUCUGAGCAAAGACAACUGUUAUUUCACCAACAGCAACAACCACUUCAACAAUUGUUGCCAUCCCAGCAGCUUACUCCAGAACAACAUCAAGCUCUGUUUUAUCAGAUAAUGCAGCAACAGCACCACCAUCAUCAACAGCAUGAGCUACAACAGCUGCAGAUCACUGGAACAGCACCAAUCCCUAUAAAUAACCUACUGGCAAAUGCCCAAACUCAACCACUUCACUCAGCCCCUCCCAAUCCUUUCAUAUCCAUUCAUAAUGAAACUUGCACACCAAAAGUUGCAAGACUCAGUGACAACGGAAGUCCUGUUACACAGGAAAAAAGCUGACACAGGAUUUUUAAAUUCCAGAAUGUUUCUGUCCCAUUGUCAUAGCAGUUUAACCAACUACAGUGGGUGAAUCUUACUCGCAUGUGGUUGGAGGAGCUUAAAGGGGAGUGGCAAAUACACUGAAAAUCAUCAUAUACCACAAAUACCCCAAAUAAAUUUGAUAAGAUGUUCCUAUAUCACAACAUUUGGUUUACUAAUCUAUCAGAUUGAUUGCACUAAUGUGAAAUUUAAGAGACAUUGGACAUGGAGCAAUCCGAAAAAUGAACUUGUUUUCAACUUCGUUGGUAAAACUUGAAUCAUUCGGUUUUGUGCUUGUCUUGAAAUGUUUUGAUGGAAGUAAAAUUAUGAUUUUUAAGGAAAAUUUAGAUAUCUUUUAAAUUAAAAUGCAAGUUACAUUGCAAAAAAUUAUACCUGGUUCUGCAGCUGUGACAGGCAGGACUUGAGAUAUGCAUCACCUGAGUGCUACAUUGCAUGCAUUCUGUGUUGUGUCCUGUUCCUUUGCUGUGAAUGUGGUAUGAUUCUUGGAUCACUGCUGGCAAAGCUACUCAGUUGUGGUGCAAUAGGCUUCUGAGAUUUCUUUAGUCGCUGGGGUACAAGAUCAAUCUAUAAAGUGGAAGAAAUGGAUUAGCCUGCCACUGGGGAAGAUUCCUUUGAGGGAUGUGUUGGCUGUCAGCCUAACCAAGUGCCUGUUGCUAGGUCCAUUGUGAAAUAGCUCUGGACAGCUGAGUAUGCACUCAAUCACAAUUCCUGUCACAGCAGCAGGAAUUUCCAAUAGUACAUCGUCUUCCUUCUUGGAAGGAAUUCCCAGCUCUCUACAUGGCUGAACCAGUUUGAACAGUUGGUAGUCUGACCCCCUCCACCUAUCCAAUUGUAAGAGUAUUUGAAGUAAUGAUAAAUUUUAAGGUUGAAUGUUGCACAGUUUGUACUUCAUCUAUAAAUAUGCUUUGGUGAAAUUGAGUAAUAGUGGGGAAAAAUGAAAUAUAAAACCUAAAUAUUUUGGUUUGUAAUAUUUCUAAUUAACAGUUGUGCUGUUGACUGGAAGAGUAUUGUUUUAUUAAUUUAUUUUUAUACAUGCAAGGGAAUUUUAGAAAAACAUUAAGACCAACUGGAUUUUGUAGAUAAUUACAAAGAAAAGUCAGUGUGGUUAAUUUUAGAUUUUUAUUUCAACCCACUGGUUGUUCUGUAUCAAACUUUGUACAGAUUUUGAAGAUAUUUGCUGUAGUUUUUAUUUUAUUUAGUUGUAAAAUAUCAAAUGUAUUAAAGAAUGGUAUAAAACUCUCUCAGCAAUGAUUGUUAGUAAUGUUUGUACUUGGGCAUGACUGGUCUGCUAAUGAUCAUGAGGCUAAAGCAGUGACUACAAAUUCAGAGUUACAGAAAAUGUAUCUGAUGUUAAUGAUUUCUCUUACAGCCAUCUGUGGCCUACACCAAAACUAGCUGCUGUUUGUUUGUUGCUUAAGUAAUAGUGUUUUGUAUGAAUAAUUUUCCUAACUGUUUUUGGAUUCCAAAAAAAAUUUAAGACUUGCGUUUUAAGUUUUUGUAAGUUCAGCCUUAUUGCAGCCUUGUUGCACAUGAAAAAUUAAGUUAUCUCAAAGUCAAUUCUCUGGUAUAAAAGUAAAAAUUAAAUUCUUAAUUUUUUUUACAAAAAACUUCAUUAUUUUGCACAUCACAUCUCAGUGACUGAAUGAUGCUUUCAUUAUCAAUGUACAAACCUGAUUUACAACAAUUUAACAAAGUAUGAAAAAUGAAAUCAAUAUGAUCUAUCAUUUCUUUCUUAUGUAUGCCAUUUAUUUUAUUCUGUUCAGUUUACCUAAAUAUUAUACAGAGAUGUAUUGCAUGU